rnacentral:lncRNA from 1 species
AGGGCACAAUAAAUUAUAUUCAAAUGGCAGUCAUGGAGGAAAGUUCCCUUUCCUUCCUCAUCCACCAAGCUGAUCGAUGGGCGCUAAAGCCCCGGGGAAGCAGCAUCUGUUGUAACUCAAGGAUCCCUGCUCGAGCUGAGUAUGAAAUUAACAGACACAGAGCAGUUAGCAGCUCAACAUUUGUUCAAGUCUGGCACAUGCACACAUCAUUAGCAACUAUAUUUGAGGAGCAAGAUCAAGGAGGUGAGGAAGAGGGUGUAUCUGAUUAAAGGGAUAUUCAGGAAAGAGGAAAUUCAGAGCAUUUAGGUAAAGCUUCAUGGCUAAAAUAAAUGAACUGGAGAGCAGAGCAAACAGCCAGGGACAUGGGAUA